rnacentral:lncRNA from 1 species
AGUCGUUCAUGCUGCUGUCUGUUUUCUAGUGUUCCAGUUGCCUUUUAAGUCUUUAUUUUUCUGCGUGUUCAAGAUGAAUGUUUAAUAUUUUUCCAGAGAGACAUAUCUUGACACAACUUCAGGCAAAAGAGUAUGAAAGACCUGUGAACAAUCUGAGAUCAAUUCCCAUUCCUGUUGGUUGUCUAACACUACAAUUUAAGAGCUUUCUUUUCAUGCUUGGAUAAAUGGAAAGGGAAAGAAUAUCAUCAGGACUCAGUAGAAAGUCUCCCUUGAUACAAAUUUAUUCAUGAAAUAUAACAUUUUAAAG